rnacentral:lncRNA from 1 species
CCCUGGCUGUUGAGCACGAUGACCUUCCCCUCUGAGUCAACAUCCACAAUGGCAGAGUCACCCUCCUUGACCUCCCCAGCGAGCAUCUUCUCCGCAAGGCUGUCCUCCAGCAGCCUCAUGAUAGCCCGCCUCAACGGCCGUGCACCGUAGCUGGGGUUGUAGCCUUCAUCCACCACCCGCUCCUUGAACUUCUCAGUAACCUGCAGGUUGAUGUCCUUGGCCUUGAGUCGGUCGAAGACCUCCUGGAGCAUAAUAUCUGCGAUCUCCUUGACCUCGAGCUUGGUGAGCUGCCUGAAGACGAUCAUCUCAUCGAGACGGUUGAGGAACUCGGGGCGGAAGUACUGCUUCAUCUCCUCAAUGACGAGGCUCUUGAUCCUGCCAUAGCUGCUGUCCUUCUCGUCGGAGUCGAGGUCAAAACCAAUCUUACGCCCACCCUUCUCAAUGACACUGCUCCCGACGUUCGAGGUCAUGAUUAGGAGGGUGUUCUUGAAGUCCACUGUUCUUCCCUUGCUGUCGGUCAACCUCCCGUCUUCCAAAAUCUGGAGCAUCAUGUUGAAGACAUCAGGGUGUGCCUUCUCAAUCUCAUCAAAGAGCACAACUGUGUAUGGGCGCCGUCUAACUGCCUCAGUCAGUUGGCCACCCUCAGUGUAUCCAACAUAUCCUGGAGGUGAACCGAUCAGCUUGGAAACUGUGUGCCUCUCCAUGAAUUCACUCAUAUCAAGCCGGAUCAUAGCCUCCUGAGAGCCAAAGUAAUAGGCAGCAAGGGCCUUAGCGAGCUCUGACUUCCCAACACCGGUGGGACCUGCGAAGAUAAAGCUUGCAAUCGGCCUGUUGGGGUUCUUGAGGCCCACACGAGCACGGCGAAUGGAACGACUAAUAGCUACCACAGCCUCAUCUUGGCCAAUGACACGUUUGUGCAAAGUCUCUUCCAUCUUAAGAAGCUUAUCAGAUUCAUCACUGGAAACCUUCUCCACUGGAAUGCCAGUCCAUGACGAUACUAUGUGCUGGAUAUCUGCUUCAUUAACCAUAGGUCCUGUCUCUCCAGAUUCCUCCUCUGCUUUGCUCAUCUCUUUGCUCUUGUCAAUGAGGGCUGUUAUCUGGGCUUUCAAUUCCAUUUCACGGUCUCGCAGCUCUCCAGCCUAAUGGCAAUACCCAAAAAAAAACAGAAUUUAGCUGUGAGCAUUGGGGAAAAAGGUACACACAAUUAAGUAAACAAAAGUACAGGCAGAAAGGCAGAGCAUAGGCAUCAACAUAUGUAACGAAAGCAGGGAAAACAGUUAAAUAAACAAAGGCAGAAUGAGAGACAAGUGAAAUUGCACGUUAUCAAAUUUUAAAGUCAAGUGAUAACUAUUUAAAGUCAAAAGUGCAGCAAUUUUUUUUUAACUCGUAUAUUACAUCUUAAAAUGGAAAAUAGAGAAUAUCACUCAAAUAGAACACUGACGAAAGGAACAAGAAUUGCUGAAUCAUCCAAAAGUAUCUGUCAUCUACCAACUAUAUAUCUAAAUAUUUUGUAUAUACAAGUGAAUGUUUUCCAUAAAGCAGUUAUGGUGGAUGGAAGUUAUGGAGUAAUAUCAUCUGCCAGGAGGAGAGGCCUGGUACCAUUUCAGUUUGCAUCACAACAUGAAAUAGAUGUGAAAUUUAGUAAACCUAGUCAGUUACCUUUUCAAAAUCCUGGCUACGAACAGCUUCAUUCUUCUGUUUUGUGACUUGUUUGAGCUCUUUGUCAAGCUCUCUUGCUUCCUCAGGAACCUGCACUAAAAGUUCGAUUUAAAAUUGUUUUGGGCAUGCAAAAAUUAAGCAUAAAAAAUAAACGAAAGCAGAUGCCUCGGGAUACUUUUACCUGUGCAUGCUGUAGCCUAACACGGGAACCUGCUUCAUCAAUCAAGUCAAUUGCCUUGUCCGGGAGGAAACGAUCACUGCAAACAAAAUAUGCUGUCAGGUGAUGAUAAAGAUGCAGCAUAGUAGCAGAGUUAAAUCAUCCAUGAACAUAGUCAGAAAUGAAGUGCACUAGUUUCUCUGAGAUGUUAGCUAAGGUUCCAGGGUAUUUUGCUUGUACUUGUUUACAUGAUCAGCUGAAGUGACACACCUGAUGUAUUGAUAUGAAAGCUUUGCAGCUGCAAUCAGAGCUUCAUCAGUGUAACGAAGUUUAUGAUGGAUCUCGUAUCGUUCCCUAAGUCCUCUGAGAAUUUCUAUG